UACGAAGGGGGCUAGCGUUGUUCGGAAUCACUGGGCGUAAAGCGCACGUAGGCGGAUCUUUAAGUCAGGGGUGAAAUCCCGAGGCUCAACCUCGGAACUGCCUUUGAUACUGAAGAUCUUGAGUUCGGGAGAGGUGAGUGGAACUGCGAGUGUAGAGGUGAAAUUCGUAGAUAUUCGCAAGAACACCAGUGGCGAAGGCGGCUCACUGGCCCGAUACUGACGCUGAGGCACGAAAGCGUGGGGAGCAAACAGG
rnacentral:rRNA from 1 species